AGGUUCGAUUCAGGUCAAGGGCAUGUACCUUGGUUGCAGGCUCAAUCCCCAGUAUGGGGCAUGCAGGAGGCAGCUGAUUAAUGAUUCUCUCUCAUCAUUGAUGGUCCUAUCUCUCUCUCCCUCUCUCUUCCUCUCUGUCUAAAA